UUUGACCAUUAUAUAAGGUAAUGCCUGCCCAGUGACCAUGUGUUCAACGGCCGCGGUAUUCUGACCGCGCAAAGGUAGCGUAAUCACUUGUUUUUUAAAUAAAGACUAGUAUGAACGGCCCCACGAGGACUUAACUGUCUCCCUUGUCCAAUCAGUGAAACUGAUCUCCCCGUGCAGAAGCGGGGAUCUUUCCAUAAGACGAGAAGACCCUAUGGAGCUUUAAACUAAAAUCAACUAUUAUUCGCCCAUUUUCUAAGGAACCAACAAAUAACUGAAUAUGCUUGACUUAAGUUUUAGGUUGGGGCGACCAUGGAGAAAAAAAGAUCCUCCCUGAUGACUAUAAACCAAGAACCACAACUCUAAGUAUUAAGAUACUUAACUCUAAUUGACCCAUUUUAUGAUCAACGAACUA
rnacentral:rRNA from 1 species